rnacentral:rRNA from 1 species
UACGGAGGGGACUAGCGUUGUUCGGAAUUACUGGGCGUAAAGCGCACGUAGGCGGAUUUGUAAGUCAGGGGUGAAAUCCCGGGGCUCAACCCCGGAACUGCGUCCGAUACUGGCAGGCUUGAAUUCGGGAGAGGGAUGUGGAAUUCCAGGUGUAGCGGUGAAAUGCGUAGAUAUCUGGAGGAACACCGGUGGCGAAGGCGGCAUCCUGGACCGAUAUUGACGCUGAUGCGCGAAAGCCAGGGGAGCAAACGGG